UCUGUCCUGAAUAUGAUGAUCAUGGCCUUGAACCUUGGCUGAAGUCAUGCAGAGACAGAUGUAUCUCACCCAAACUCAUGACUAAACAGCAUCAUCAGCUCCUGGCAGGUGUCACCUGCUCCAUCAAGGUCAGCAACUCAUUGCAAUGGACCAUCGUCUGCGUGAUGUUUUAUUUAUUCAUCCUCCUCCAAGGUGUCUGACUAACAAGCAUGAGAGCUAUUUUCUCCAUCAAUGAGCUCGUUGACACCGGAACCUAUGUUUUUUUUCCAGAGGAUAUAACCUGCAGUCUGUUGUCAGAGGGGCGGCUGGUGCCAGAGAUGUUCUUUGUGGGAAAACGAGCCGGGCUCUGGUCAGGUGCUCGUCUGAGUUAGCCAAGGUCACUUCCUGAAAUCCAUCCACUCGUCAAUAAUGAGCCAUCCAGGGGUCGAUAUGUUCCCAUUCCACCACAUCCCAGCUGGUGCAGAGAAAUCUGCGUCAGUUCCCCAUAGAGAAGAAGAAGAAGAAGAGAGGUGCAGGAAGGAAGGGGAUGGAUUGGAAACUCCAGAUGAAUGUUGGAAAGAAGAAAGAUGGGAAGCUGUGGGGAUAAAGAAGAGAGAAGAGAGGAAGCAAGGAGGAGAUGACAUACAUUUUAGGAAAUGAGAAGAAAUGAAACCCAGAAGGAUUGGUAAACCAAAGACACCGGGAAACGUUUGGGAUUUUCAAAAAGUGAAGUAAGAGGAGAGGUGGAACACUUGAUGCACAGUCUCACCUCCGGUGCAUCAAACCCCAUCUAACUAGGGAGGUCAAAGCAUGCUGUUUUAAUGCAGUAAAUGCUCCAUGAACACUGUGAUACAGCCCCUUCCCCCCUCUGUGUUUCAAGCAAAUCAGACAUGAAGUCAUUUUCAGCCAGAAGCAACUCAACAUAAAUAGCUUGCAUGUGGCUCUGAGGUCAUGGGCAGAGAGAGGAGAAAUGAUAACAGAGCAGCAGCCACAGACACUGUGUGUCAGCAGCAAGCCGUCUGCUGUGUUUGAAAGAUUCAGCCUUUGUUUUAGCAACCUACAGUAAGUCAUCAUGUCUAUGUGCUUGUUAAACCAAGCCUCCACAAACACCAGGCUCAAUUAUGGAUAAGUGUUUACAGUUGAAAUAUAAUCAUAUUUUGUGUGCAUAGCUCCUAAAGAUUCAAAUAUGUUUUUUUGUAUAUAAAACACCAUUUUUUUUUUUUUUUGGUAGAUAGCCACCAAAUUUGCAUGUCUUAACGCAUAUGCCUGGUAAUUUACAGAUUUUUUGUAGGAUUUGAUCUUUUCUCUUCUGUGUAAGAACUUUUAAUGUGCAUUAUAGAAACAAGAUGCAAACACAACACUUGCGUCAUCAAUUUUUAAAUUGAUAUGAUGAACUUGUUAGCAAACUAAGCUAGCUAAUUCAUUUGUUGUACGUACAAGAUUAUAUAUGAUCUGACUUCUUGACUUUUUUCACUCAGAGGAAGUGCUUUCAGUCAGUCUGCAUCCACUGUUAAACCCCAUCCCAGCAACUAUUAGAGAACUGAACACAUGCGGUUUAUUUGAGCUCAUUUAAAGAAAUGGUUAAUUAGUAUUCAGCUCUGUCAGCAGCACUAAAACUCAAUUGCAUCUUACUGUCCUCAGUUUAUUCUGUGCUGAACUUCCCUCACUGUCUGCUAUCACCUGUCGCUAUCUUUCUAUCGCCAGUCUGCCCUCAUGUACCUGCAUGCAUGUCUUACUGUGGCUUUGCCUUUAUUGUGUUAGACUGAUUUAUGUAUCAUACUGUGCAUGCUUUUUUAUGUCUGUGUGUCUGCUUUGGAUGUUUCAGUUAGUGUCUAACAAUGCAGCACAAUGGGGUCUUUCUAUUCCAUAUUUCUAUUAACAUUAAUAUUCCUCAAUUUAUUGUUUUCCAUGUCUUGUAUUAUGAGCCUCUGUGUUGCUUGUUUUAAAUAGUACCUGACAAUGUAGUAUAAAGGUGUCCUGAAUGAUGUUUUUUUAUUAACAUUAAUAUUCUCUGCAAGUCUUUGCAGAUUCAUCACUAUGAGGAACACCUUUAACUAACACGUAGUCAUUUGAUUCAUUGCUGAUAUUAAAAUUUUGAUUAUAGCAACUUAAAAUAAUUAUUAGCUGUAUGUUUAACCAAACAUAAACAAAUCACUUACAAAAAAGUAAAGUUUUAACAUUAUAUAUUAUUUAUAUCAAGUUUGAAAUAGGGACAUUUACAAAGGUAGGCUACAUGUUUUAAUCAAUACACCAGCAAUGCGUUUAAAUGGUAAUCAAAUUUGACAAUGCAACAAUCAUUGUUAAAAUGUUAAUACAAAAUGUUGUUGAAGUUCACUUUCAUGUCAAGUUUCAUUUGGUUUCCAUUAAGUAUGAAAAGUCCUUUUCAUUUUAGGCACUGCACAUUGUCAGACGCCCAAAUUGACCAGAGAAGCUUUCAAGGAAAAUUACAGCAAAGUUUUACCACUGAUCCCCUAAAACUGUGUGUAAAAAUCUACAGACAAAACUACUGUGAAUUUGAUUCUCUAUUCAAGGUGUCCAUGAAUUAGAGCUCUACAUUAC